UAUGCUGUGGGAAGCAGCCCUAGAAAAGGCAAAAAGACAAAACAAAACAAAAAAAUGCUGCACUCUAUGUAUGUCCAAGUUUCUUUUUCUUUCUUUCUCUCUCUCUCUAUUUUUUUUUUUUUUGACUAUGCCUGUAGCAUGCAGAGGUUCCCAGGCCAGGGAUCAAACCCGCACCACAGCAGUGGCCCAAGCCGGCAGUAACAAUGCCGGAUCCUCAGUCUGCUGAGCUACCAGGGAACUCCGUGUACAUUCAAAUUUCUGACGUAUUAUCAUUUCUCUUCUCUCUAAAGAACUUCUUUUACCAUUUCUUGGAAGGCUGGUCUGUUGGCUACAAAUCACCUCGAUACUUGUUGGAGAAAGUCUUUAUUUCUCCUUUACUUGUGAGUAACAUUUUCAUAGGAAACAGAAUUCUAAGUUGGUGCUUUUUUUCUAUCAACACUUUAAAUAUUUCAUUCCAUUCUCUUCUUGCUUGUAUGGCUUCUGAGAAGUUUAAUAUAAUUCCUUGUACUUUUUUAGAUAAGGUGUUUCCCCCCCCCCCGGCCUUUUUUCAGAAUUUUUUCUUUAUCUUUGAUUUUCUGUGAUUUGAAAUUUAUGUGCCUAAGUGUAGUUUUUGGUAUUUAUCCUGCUUGGUGUUUUCUGAGCUUCUUGUGUCUGUGGUUUGGUAUUGGACAUUAAUUUGGGGAAAUCCUCAGACAUUUUUAUUCCAAAUAUGUCUUUUUUUUCCUUUUUUCUUAUGGUGUUCUCUUUACACUACAUCAACCUUAUGUAGUUAUCUCACAGUACUUUGACAUCCUAUUCUUUUUUUAAAAUUUUUGUUCUCUUUGAUUUUCUGUUUCCAAGGAUUCUCUGUCUCAUAGAUUCUUUUCUCAGCCAUGUCAGGUUUAUUAUAAAGUCCGUCAAAGACAGUCUUUUUUAUUUUUUAUCUCUAGCAUUUCUUUCUUUCUUUUCUUUUNUGUGCAACACUGGACCCCUAACUCACUGAGCNCCAGAUCUGAGCCACGUCUGCAACCUGCACCAUGGCGUGUGCAACACUGGAUCCCUAACUCACUGAGAGAGGCCAGGGAUGGAACCGGCAUCCUCAUGGAUACUACUCAGAUUCUUUUCUGUGAGCCGUAAUGGGAACUCCCUAUCUCUAACAUUUCUUUUUGAUUCUUUUGUAGGCUUUCCAGCUCUCUGCUUACAUUAUUCAUCUGUCUACUUUAUCCAUUAGAGUCCAUAGCAUAUGCUAUUUUAAAUUACUGGUCUGAUAAUUCCAACAUCACUGCCAUGUCUGGUUCUGAUGCUUACUCUGUCUCUUCCAAUUGUGUUUUUUGUCUUUUAUAUACCUUGUAAUUUUUAGUUGGCAGCUGGAUUUGACGUACUUGGUAAAAAAGAAGAUACUGUAAAUAAGACCUUUAGUAAUGUGGUGGCUAGGUAUAAUGGGGAGGGAAAGUCCUGUCCUGUGAUUAGCUUUCAGUCUUUUGGUAAGCCUAUGCCUCUGAACUGUGAACUUCACAUGUAUUUCUCAGUUUUUUCUCCCCUCAUAGGUGGUACAGAAUGGCUAGAAUACGCUAGGAAUGAGUAUUUCUCUUCGCCUGGUCUGUUAGGCCCUGAGAGUACCCCAGGAGGUUAGCUUCUGGCUCACUAGUUUCCCCAAAGGGCCGGCCCUGUUAAGAACAGAUUGUUCUGGCCUAUUUCAAAAUGGUUCUUUUUUACCUUCUCCUGCCAAAGCCCAAGGGGAUUUUUCUAUAAUAUUUACAAUGGGAAUGUGGUCAAGCUCGUAGAAAGAAAUCUGACAAUAUUGUGGAUAUCCCCUUAUAACUGUGUCCUGCUGGAGAUUUAACUCUCAGACUUGUCCACACUGAGCCUCCAGCAGCCUGUUAGUUACAGUUCUCAAUUUCCUGCCCUAGCAGUGAUUCCCUUGGCAGUUUUUACUUGUGAGUCUCUCCUGUGCUAAGCCACAACUCCUUGUAUUUGCCUGUCUGUCACCCUAAUCUUGAGUAAUGAUUUGCCCUGUGUCCAAGGAGAGUUGUUGAUUUUUAAAAGUCUUUUCAGUUUUUUACUUGAUAGGAUGGAGUAGUGACUGCCAAGCUCCUUAUAUUUGGAACCAAAAAAACGAAGUGUGAUUUGAUUUUUUAGCUUGUUUUCCUUACCAUCGCCCCUGGAUAAGAGUAGCUUAGUUUUCAGUGUGUGCUCAGAGGUUAUGCUUAAGCCCCUUGAGCCACUGAGGCUUAAGGCUCUUUGCUGAUGAAUCUGUGUAUGCCUUGAGGAAGGCUUUCUAGCCCCACAUUUCCCUCUGAUUGUUCCUGAGUAGGUGUAGCCUAGAACAUAUGCAUAUCCUUAUGUAACCCCAUGAAUGAGUAAGACCCUAGGAUUGUUCUUGGCUAUCUCUUUACCUGGUUUUUUCUGUUAAACUUCUGGCUGGUUGGCUAUUUCACUUGUUGCUACUAUUAUCUUGGAACUACCAGCCUCCUCUUAAUUGCUCACCAGCAAGAUCUCUGUUGUUGUUGACUCUGCCCUUAGGAACCUCUCCUUGCUCUGUUCUAAAUAAAGUCAGUCCCCUUAAGUAGAAAUGCUGAGCUAUUUCUCUUUAUUGCUUGUUUCUCCCCCUGGGCAGAAGCUCCCACACACUGCUGCAGUUUGAGGCAGGAUCAUGGCAGCUACUCUUGCAUUGACACCCCUGUGAUAUGAAUGGAUGUCGGGGAAAUGGUAGCCCCUAAUUUUCUUAGCAUGCCGUCCUAGCCUUCAGCCUCUGCCCAAAGAGCCAGCCUGGGUGAAGGUAGUCAGGGUCCCAAUAUUCUUGAGCUGUUAAACCUGGGGUAGAGCCCUUACCUUAAGAGUGAGAACUGAGUGGGGAAAGGAAGACCCAGUCCUCUCCUUGUGCUUGCCCAUAAAAGCACUCCUGUAACAUCGACCUGGGGAAGAUAAGAUAGGCUGGCAGCCUACCACUUCCAAGGUGCAAACAUAGCUUGGGAGUCUCGGACCUGGAGGGAGAGGAAAUUCCUACUUUCUUUUUGUUUUAAAAUUGAAAUAUAAUCGAUCUUCAACAUUAUAUCAGUUUCAAGUGUACAACAUAGUGAUUCAAUAUUUUCGCACAUCACAAAAUUAUCACCAUGCUAAGUCUAGUUACCAUCUGUUAUCAUACAAAGUUAUUACAAUAUUAUUGACUGUAUUUCCUAAUGCUGUGUAUCCCAUCCCUGUGACUAUUUUAAAACUAGAAGUUUGUACCUUUUGAUCCCCAUCACCUAUUUCACUCAUCUCUCUACCUCACUCCCGAAUUACCACUUUCUUAUCAGCACUCAUCUGGAGUACCUUCUAUCCAACGGAGCUGGUGUGAAUAGGAGCAGGUCAUGGUUCAGAUGCCACAAACUCACUGUUCUUACUCAGGUUUGGUUGAUUUUUUUUUAAUAAAUAUUUUUCCAUUUUCUAUAUGUCCUUAGGACAGUUUCUGGAGACCUUAAAUGAUUGUUUGUUUUAAUGAUUUUCCCAGGCAAAUGAUUACUUCACUGGAGAGAGAAGGUCCAAGAGCUUAUUAAUACCACCAUUGUGGAAGUUCCAUUUUCAUUGUUUAUUUUAAAAACUGGAAGUAGUAUCAUAUAUUUGUGUUUCUCUAUCUGACAUUUCACUUAGUAUGAUAACCUCUAGGUUCAUCCAUGUGCUGCAAAUGACCUUAUUUCAUUCUUUUUAUGGCUGAGUAAUAUUCCAUUGUAUAUGUGUACCACAUCAUCUUUAUCCGUUCAUCUGUUGAUGCACAUUUAGAAUGCUUCCAUGUCUUGGCUAUUGUAAAUAGUGCUGCAGUGAACAUUGGGGUGCAUGUAUCUUUUGAAUUAUGGUUUUCUUUGGAUAUAUGCCCAAGAGUGGGAUUGCUGGGUCAUAUGGCAGUUCUAUAUUUAGAUUUUUAAGGAAUCUCAUACUCUCCUCCAUAGUGGUCAUACCAAUUUACAUUUCUACCAAUAGUUGUGGUUCCCUUUCUCCAUACUCUCUCCAGAUAUGUGGAACCUAAUUUUAAAGAUGAUUAAAAAAAAGAGCUUAUUUACAAAACAGAAACAAACUCACAGAUUUUUGAAAUCAAAUUUAGGGUUCCUAAAAGGGUAACUGUAGAGGGAAGGGAUAAAUUGGGAGGAUGUGACUGACAUACACACACUACUAUAUAUAGAAUAGAUAACUAACAUGGACCUACUGUAUAGUGCAGGAAGGUCUACUCAAUGUUCUAUAAUACCUAUCUGUAUGGAAAAAAAAGAAUGGAUAUAUGUAUAUGUAUAACUGAUUCACUUAAUAUAGGCCAGCAUUAUAUCUUUGUUAAAAAGCUGAAAACUCAGUUUGGUAGUUCUGGGUCUUUUUAGAAGGAAUAUUUCAAAGUAAUGUCUUCAAUUUAGUCCAGAUCACCAAAAUUUUAUUGACAUCCUCCUUUGGAAUACCAAUUUUAUGGUGAGUGAUCUUUGUUUUGCUUUAUAAGUUUUAGGUUUUGAAACCCUGAGGCUCAUAUUAAUACAUUAUUUGUGGUUAUCAGAAUGUCCCAUAGAUUAUAUGGUAUGGUAAUUAAAGCAGAGAACUGAAAGUCAGAUUUCUUUUCUCCUCAAGCCCUUGCUUUCAUUUUCAGUACCAAUCUAGGAAAUAUUAGAAAUCACUUAACUGCUAAAUUGGUUCAUUCAUCUGCAAAAUGGAACUAAUAUUGUGUGUCACAAGGGUGUUGUGAAGCUUAAUAAAUAUUGCUGAAGCAUUUGUUCCCAUGAAAACUCCUGUUUUUUUUUAUUUUAAAAUCAUAUUUAUCUUUCUUACACUUUAAAAUGUGCCCACUAAGGACUUGUACACACAUAUAAAAUAGUAGUUCCUGGCUUGGCUCAGCGGAAACUGAUCUGACUAGGAACCAUGAGGCUGAGGGUUUGAUCCCUGGCCUCGCUUAGUGGGUUAAGGAUCUGGUGUUGCUCUGCCGGUAGUGUAGGCUGGUGGCUACAACUCCUAUUCAACCCCUAGCCUGAGAACCUCCAUGUGCCAUGCGUGUGGCCCUAAAAAGAAAAAAAAAA
rnacentral:lncRNA from 1 species